UANAGUUUGAUCAUGGCUCAGAUUGAACGCUGGCGGCAUGCCUUACACAUGCAAGUCGAACGGUAACAGGUCUUCGGACGUCUGAUCGAGGUGGCGAACGGGUGAGUAAUACAUCGGGAUACGUGUCCCAGUCGAUGGGGGAGUAACUACUCGAAAGAGUAGGCUAAUACCGCGAUACGAUCUGAGGAUGAACAUGCGGGGGACCUUCGGGCCUCGCGCGAUUGGAGCGGCCUGAUGGCAGGAGUUAGGGUAGCUCUCGGCUGGGCAUAACAACGCUUAGCCAAGCCGACGUAUCUGUAGCCUNGGGUCGUGAAGCAGGCACGACC
rnacentral:rRNA from 1 species